GAUGAACGCUAGCUACAGGCUUAACACAUGCAAGUCGAGGGACCGGCGCACGGGUGAGUAACACGUAUCCAACCUGCCCUUUACUCGGGGAUAGCCUUUCGAAAGAAAGAUUAAUACCCGAUAUAAAGGAUGGGGAUGCGUUCCAUUAGGUUGUUGGUGAUGUCACGGCUUACCAAACCUUCGAUGGAUAGGGGUUCUUAGUGGGAGGACACGCAGAUUGGAACAGAGACACGGUCCAAACGCCUACGGGAGGCAGCAGUGAGGAAUAUUGGUCAAGAGGCGCUAGCCUGAACCAGCCAAGUAGUGUGAAGGAUGAAGGCUUAUGGGUCGUAAACUUCUUGUAUGUAAGAAUAUGUAUUAUAUGAAUAAGGAUCGGCUAACUCCGUGCCAGCAGCCGCGGUAAUUC
rnacentral:rRNA from 1 species